rnacentral:lncRNA from 1 species
UUCAGCCCUGCCAAAAGCAUAAAUAAGCAGCAGCAAUUCUCAAGCCUCGACAAACUAGAAUGAAAUGCAAAUCUGCUAGCAGUCAAUCAUCUCAGCUUUGGCAACAGAAUCAACAGCAGCAGCUCUCAGUCUCACCAACUUUAAAACAUGUAUUAUAUAUUCGCAGGCAUUCGGCCAUUUUAAUUUAAAAACCAAGGGAUUCCAAACGAGCGGCGUUACGCCACGCCGGCCUGCAUACAUCUCUCCGAAAUACAACAUCAUCCAUCUUCAUCAAGGGACUAAAAUUAACGCCGCAAGCGACCACAACAAAGGGGAGAAACAAACUGUACAAAUUAAAACGGCCAAGCAACCCACCGCCGUCAUCAAACACCAUUCAUUCAUUCCAUUUCCAUCCAUUCAUUCGUUAUAAAGAAGACCAUGGCACGCCCGCCCGUGGUAGCCGCUGCCUGGCUGAGACAUCCCCGCCAGACCACACCUCUUAUUUGCCCGGCCUCCUCCGUCUCGGGGCCU